rnacentral:rRNA from 1 species
GACGAGCGCUGGCGGCGUGCUUAACACAUGCAAGUCGAACGGAAAGGCCCUGCUUUUGUGGGGUGCUCGAGUGGCGAACGGGUGAGUAACACGUGAGUAACCUGCCCUUGACUUUGGGAUAACUUCAGGAAACUGGGGCUAAUACCGGAUAGGAGCUCCUGCUGCAUGGCGGGGGUUGGAAAGUUUCGGCGGUUGGGGAUGGACUCGCGGCUUAUCAGCUUGUUGGUGGGGUAGUGGCUUACCAAGGCUUUGACGGGUAGCCGGCCUGAGAGGGUGACCGGCCACAUUGGGACUGAGAUACGGCCCAGACUCCUACGGGAGGCAGCAGUGGGGAAUAUUGCACAAUGGGCGGAAGCCUGAUGCAGCAACGCCGCGUGCGGGAUGACGGCCUUCGGGUUGUAAACCGCUUUCGCCUGUGACGAAGCGUGAGUGACGGUAAUGGGUAAAGAAGCACCGGCUAACUACGUG